rnacentral:lncRNA from 1 species
GCCCCCUCAAACUAAAGUUUAGUAAGCUUUAAGCUUGUUACAAAUAAUUACUUUAAAAAUAUAAAUAAUUAAAUGAUUAUACGAGGUCCAUAAAGAUCAUGGGAAAUAUGUUGUAAAUUUUAAAGUUUGUACGUAGAAACUCCGCUUGAAUGAUUGUUGGUGAGAAGAGAAAUCAUUGGAAUAAUCAUCAUCGAAGUGGUCGUCAAUGAGAAAAGUCGUUACUAACAUAAUUCAUCAACAGAAAGAAAAAAGGCAUCAUCGGAAUGAACGUAAGUGGGAAUAGAACAUAAUGUUAUAAUCAUCAAUGGAGAAAAUAAAAAGGC